AUGAGACUGUAUGCACAAAGGAAUGGAAUUUUGUCAGUAGUGUUGCCUCAGGAAGGGACUGGAAGAAAUGUAUGUUUCUCCUUGUAAUAGAUGCAGUCUUACAGCUGAGUCAGUGCAAAAAAGAGAAGAGUGUUAUUUAAAAGCAAUGUUUAUUUGGCAAAGGAAUCAAAAUAAUCCAGAGCACGCACAUACUAAAGGUGAAGUUGUGUUGCAUCCUGCAAGAGGCACCUUUUGUGGUGCUGAGCAUUAUUCACUGGUUUUAUGUACAUUUUGCAGAUUCUGAGCAGUUACAAGGAAAUACUCAGGACAUCUCCAAUGAUGAGUAUAGGCCUGUAAGAAAGAACUUACAGAAUCAGUAACAAUAACCAUCAAUUGUGACCAUGCCUUAAAUCACUAAAACAGAAGCUAGAAUCCAUAUGCAUUUUACAAGCCAAGGGUCUGCCACUUUGGAAUGAUUUCCUUACACAGAAGAUUUUAGAACACAGGUUUUCCUCUUUGCCUUCUUUUUGGCCUGACAUCUGCCUGGCAAGUUUGGAGGAGCAAGUUUCUUCUAUGAAGAGCAGAAAUCUCAUUGUGUGCUACUCAAAGGCACAAGACUCAGAGUCCUUGAGAGCAUUAGUGCAGUGCAGUACAGGCCUAAAAUUUAAAAUCCAAAUAAUUAUUUGGGAUGUUCCUAUUGUGCCAUGGUUACCAGGGUCUCCAAACCCACUAUCUUUAAACAUUGUGUAGUCAUUUCCAAGGUGAGGGGUGUCAGUUGUCACAGAAAGUAUUUGUUGCUUUGCUUUUAUCUGUACAGAAAAGAGCCACUCUAGGUGGUAUGCAUAGUAGUUCUCAUCAGUGGCCUCUCAGCCACCUGUGGCUUGGCAGCAAAGUGCUCAGCAGUGGUUUUGUGAGCCCCUUACUGGCACAGGCACAGUUUGUGUUCCCAGAGUUUGUUGCUGAAUGCUGUGGGUGGAGAUGGGCAGUUGCGCUUGGCUGUGUUUGCCUUGUCAGCUCUUUCUUUUUAGUAGCUACCUAGACUAUGCAUACAUCUGCUCGUGUCUUUCCAAUGUUUUAUUGUCUUUCUUCCUUUCCUCACCCCUUUCCUGAUAUAUUUGCCUAUAUCUUGACAGGGCAAGGUGGGAAAGGAAACUCAUCCAUCGUGAUAAAACUCUGGUUCCGUGAACAAGUAGGCCUGUCUAUAGAAAUAAUAACCCCUCCACUUGGGAGAAGUCAGAGAACUCAUAAUGAAGAUGUGAGGGAGAGGGAAAGAGAAUUCUUUUUGUAAUUAAAAACUUUAAACUAUUCUGGGGAGGUUUGGGGUUUUUUAUGCAAAAGGUAAAGGAGAAAAACCAAGAAGAUAUCUUCUUGCCUUUCAGAAUGAGAAUUGGAUUUCUGGGAGCAGUUUGGCCCCAGUGAAGUCUAACAGGUGACAUAGGCUGAAACAUUUUAAUCCCUGAAGUUUUAUCUUGGUCCCUUUCUUGAAACGUUGAUAAAACUCUGAUUGUAAUAAGAGAUUACUUCUGAUUGAGCUGAAAUUGACCCUUUUUCCAGCCACCUCUUUCUCUCCAGCAGAAGAAGAAAAGGUGGAUGGUACGUGCAGUCAGUGAGCACUCUAGGAGAGCUGUAGGUCAGAGUGCAUUAAUUCCCUUUCCUUACUGUAUAUUUUAACAGAGUCUGUAGGCUUAUACAGAGAACAAUACUGCUAAGGGUGUGUCCUUUGAGAUGUGGAUGAGACAUGCAUGUGGCUUUGUUGUGGGAGGAAGAGUGUCCUUGCACCUGGAGGAAUGCUGUGACUUCAAAAGUGGGGCACCAUUGGCUUUCCUGCCCUAGCAUUUCAAUUUAUUUAUUUUUUUUUUUCCAGAAGAUCUGCUCCAAAGCAGGGUGCUUCGUGUGCUGGGGCUCAUAAAGUGAUGUCAGGUCAAAGAGAGCUGGCCGAGGAUGUUUAACAUGUACUGCAGACCAGGAGCCACAAUGCCAGUUGACUGUGUCAGUAUCUGCGUUGAUCCAGGAUCUUCAUUGCAUUGGAAGAGGAGGCUAUAGUGUGAGAUGAAGACCCGGAGACGCUGCACGCACACCAGUAGCAGGUGCCUCUCAGCCAUAGAAAUAUUCAGGAAACUGAUGCUUAGUGACAGAACAACUGGAUUGGCAGGAAAGCACAACAGGAAGAGAGCCAGGCAUGCAUGUUACCAUUAUGCAUCCGUCAAACAGGCAGGAAGUUUACCUCCUUCAAGAUCACCACGUGGAUCAGAGAGAUGCAUUCCGGCAGGUCCCUCAGAGGCCCUAGCAAUGCUGGAAGAGCUCGUGACCUAAGCUGGAGGCAGCCUGUUGACAGCUGGGCGAAGCAGGAGACAGAGCAGGGCCAGCUGGAGCUCAAGAUACCUCAGUUCAGCCUGUUUGCAGUGUACUAUGGUAGACACCUUCCUGUGAUGCAGCCCUUCAGUUAUCCGCCAGAAGUUACUGCUGGUUGUGCUGCCAUGACACUCAGAGGGGAUUGCAGUCUGUUUGCCAUCAAUUCAGAUUUUAUUCCCUAUGUCAGACUGGCUGACCUUCACCUCCCAGAAAACACCGUCUCACCCAGUUCCUUGUCUGCAUUGCUUCCUCUUGACAACGUAAAGUCCCAAGAAAACAGGACAGGAGAGACUGACUGGGAGAAGUAGCCAUCACCAAAACUGCCAGCUGUUAGGGGUCAAAAAUCACCAGCCAGCCCUCUCCAGGUGCCAAGGUUCAUCUUUAAAUGACAGUUUGGAGAACUCCUCAGCAUAUGAGCACCAUCGUUUCUCAGGUGGCAAGGCAGAGCAUAGUCCUACAAGCGGUUUGGGGUGAAAAGCAAGUGCCACCAGGCCCACAUUCCUCUGCAAGAAGAACAUCUUAAAGCCAACAACCACACUCCCCAGAGACGCUGCUGACAGUAGCAGGACUGGCUGUGUGCAGGCAGUAGCUACAUCUUGGUGCUUGUGAGGCCAGGACUGGCAGAGAAAUCUUUCUUGUGGCACUCACAUGAACAAGAACCCCAUGCAGCAAAGCACGUGGGGGAGAGAAGCAGAUCAUCACUGCAGUGAGAUGUAGCUUUCAACAGUUGGAGAUCUCUGUUCAUCCCAAGACCAGCUCCUCCAAGUUGCCUGAGACCUCAGAAUGCCUGUGUCUUUGUCUGGAUCACAGUUCUGCAAACAGCAGGAGCUAUGCAGUCAGCCUCACAACAGUGAUUCAGAGUGAAGGAUGUGAUGUGAAGAACGUCUGUGCUGACACAAGGAAACUUGCAGUUGUCAUUAGGGACAGUGCGCUUAAUGAGGAGUGACUCACAGGAGGCAUCACCCAACUGAUAUGCUACAGGGAGAACCAUGGAGAGCUAACUGAGGAGCACCCACAUCACAGUCAUGCAGUCAAGGACAGUGCUUGAGCAUGAUCUCUGUUCUCUGCAGAGCACAGCAGUGAAGCUUUGAAACUGGAACCCCAGGGAUGCCACCAGGCCCUCCUGCUCCAAGCACCACCUGGUGCUCUGUUAUAUGACCACGCUGCAAAGUAGGUUGACCUUUGUAAAAUGGGUCUAGAAAAAGUCUUCCUUGUUUUACUUGCAUGGCUGUCUUUCAUGUGUCCUCUAGCUGCAGCCUGCAAUAUCCUGAGUCACUCCUUGGUUCUUUGUUACAUUAAACACUGGCUACUUUCCAGCAUUUAAAGACUCACUGCUGGACUCCCUGAAUAUAUAAAUUGCCUGUCCCUGUUUCUUUUGAAUCACUGGAGGAAAAGUAGUCAGUCCUUUCUCAGCUCUAAAACAAACAAGACCUCACUGUGGUUUGGUGCAAGUGCUUGUCCUCUGCCUCCUCUGACUGCCGGGAUGGGGAAGCUGUUAACCUUGUCCUCACUGGGACAAG